ensembl:lncRNA
GUACACACAGCAGCCGCUCUUUGAUGUAAUUUAGGGAAGGGUCUUGUUCCUCUAUUCUGUGUUUGUGUGUGUGCGAGUGUGGCUGUUUGCGAGGACAUGACACCAUCAUGAAAAUAAUCUAUGAUUCUCCUGGUUUAGCUGACUACAAGAAAACAACAACGUCUGAAGCCUCAUGAAAGAAACUGUGAGACCAUGACCUGCGGGCGACUCAUUCUGCAGGCGACCAGUAUAGCGUGGUGGAGGGGUGACGUAUGUUGGCCAACCCGGAAGUGAGCGUCGCCCUGGUUUCCCUUGACAAAAAGCCAACGGGUUUUUCCAUUGGAUUUUGGAUUAUUGCAGAAAAAUUAGCAUCUUUGAAGCACCUCCUCAAAAACUGAAAAUAUAUAAAUAAAUAAAAAUAUCUGUGCUCCAAAGAACGAAAUGUAAACCAAUGCAUUCUG